rnacentral:rRNA from 1 species
UACGUAGGUGGCAAGCGUUAUCCGGAUUUACUGGGUGUAAAGGGAGCGUAGACGGCAGAGCAAGUCUGAAGUGAAAGCCCGCGGCCCAACUGCGGGACUGCUUUGGAAACUGCCCGGCUAGAGUGCUGGAGAGGUAAGCGGAAUUCCUAGUGUAGCGGUGAAAUGCGUAGAUAUUAGGAGGAACACCAGUGGCGAAGGCGGCUUACUGGACAGUAACUGACGUUGAGGCUCGAAAGCGUGGGGAGCGAACAGG